ACAAAACAAAAUACUAAUCCAAAAUAUUAAUAUCACAGUGACUUAAAAAAAUAAACUUAUAUUGUUUGAACGAAAUAGCUAAUGUCAUUAUAUUACUAAUCCUAACGAAUAAUAAUCUUCGAAUAAUUUCUGCAACUUUUUACGAUAUUGAAAUCUUCCACCCACUAAAUUAUCGAACAUCAAACUGUAUGACCUGAAAUUAUAAAAUAACUAUGUCAAUAAAUAAAAUAUAAUAAUCCUCAAUUCCAGACUAGUUGGAGCUGGCUUUAUAAAUAACUUACAAUCCAUUUUACUCCUUUUGGACCCGUUACACUCCAAAUCUACAAUCAAGUGACAAUAUCCUCAGAAAGAACCAGAGGGAAAAAGGAUAGAAUAUAUGCAUACAAUAUUAGUUAUACACAACUAAGAAUGUUUGCAAUGCACUGUAGAUAUACACAUAAGCAAGAAAAUUUUCUUCUCCUACUAGAGCAGCACUAAAUAUAAGAGAAAUAUAAGACAUAAAUUGUCACACCAAUGUAGAAAGCAAAAACAUGUAUACUAUAUGCUAGACUUGGCGGGAUUUCACUUAAGAAGAAGCUGUAAUUCUUAUGUAAACCUCAAUUUUUCUGCUGUGAAAACACUGCCCCAAGUAGGUUAUUUUUUUUCACUCUAGAAUAACAAUUCAGUUUUUGGUUUCAAAACCAACUCUAACUAUCCAAAUUUUCCAGUUGAAUAUCAAAAUCUAAUGUUAACCAACUAGUUUAGAGCUACUGUAUAUUGAAAAUAAAGUCGAAAAAACUAGUUCACAACUAAAAAUUUCUACCUGCAGCCUUCACCAAAGAACCAGCUUUUUAUAAAUUCAAAAGGCACCUAUUUUCUAUCCAGAAAGUAGAUUUAUUGAUCAAAAUUAAGUAUACCGAAAUGGUUAUCAUUAAGUAAUUGGCUAAUGCACAACACCACCAGACCAACCAUCCGGGUAGUGAAAAGAUAAGUUAUCACAGCUAUGAACUAACUAUAUGUUAAAUACCAAUCUGCAGAAGUUCAUGGACUUUUCAUGCCUAAAAGCACACCAAACUCUUGCAGCUGCAAUGGAUAAGAUGCCACAUUUAGUCAACUUUUUACUUGUAAGCAACACUUACUUAAGUGGACUAUUCAGAUAACUGAUUCAAGGCCAUAUAAUUCCUUUAGUGCUACUGAAUGUAGUCACGUACUGUAAUUGUAUGUGAAAAAGAUACUUCCGUUAGUAGACAAUAUCUUCUAUAGCCAUAAGAGAUUUGUCUCUGGGUCGUUCACAAUUGGAAUAUUCAAUUGAAUCUAAAUCUAAAGAGUUUUAAAAUGGGUUUCAACUAUUGAGAAUUGAAUGACAUUUUUUGAAUCAAUAAUAAGUAUAAACUGCAUAAAACAUGCAUGUAACUUACAUUUUUAUCUACUUGUGGCAUAAAGGUGGCUUCCUAAAAAAUAUAUUGUAGACAAAGGUGGCAGGGGAGUAGCAUGACCUGGAAUAAACUUAAAACCAUAGUUGCUAAAACAGUCAACGUUACUGGUACAUGAAUUAGUAAGUAGGAAAACAAAUUCAAUCUAUAAAAACCAAUGAAAACACUAGUUCGCUGAAAUAUGAUCAUAGUCAUUGGGUUGAUUUUGUCAUAUGUAAAAUGGUAUUAGUUGUUGCUCAAUUUAUUGUAAUUGAUAUUUACUUUUGUUUAUCCAACUAACAGUAUGAUAAUUACAGUAAAAAGUCUAGAUCCCAAGUGCAAAGGUAUAUUUCUCAGUUCAUGCUAACUCUUUGCUUCGAUGUUAAAGUCUUUAAUAGUUACUUUUGGAUAUUGGAACAUCAGAAAAUCCAAAAGAUCCAAAUGGUACUAAUACUGAUAAAGUUCAAUGAAAUUAUGGAAGCAUGUAAGUCCAAAUUAUUUUCAACUACCAUGAAGCUUUCAUGUUAUAGAAAGAAUCAUGUUUCCUUAAGAGUUCUGAAAGAAAAAAAGAGUAAGGACAUAUAGAUCUUAUUUCCAUUUCUUGCAAGUUUACAUGAGAUUAGAUUCCGAAGAUAAAAAAAUUAAAGGAGGAAAAUUUAAACAAUAGAAAACUCAAAUAGUAGCGCGCCGAAAGAUAAAGAUGAGUAGUACGUGAGAUAGUAAAUACUAAAGCUAAAACUAUGACCGGCAAUGAUCGUUUUGGAACUUUGAAGGGAAAGUUUAUGUAAUUGAAUGUUGAAGUAACUCUGUUUGCACUACUAGGAAUUAAAGCAUUGGAGUGAGAGAUUUAAAAUUCUUGUGAUUCACUUGUGAAUAGUUAUCAUGUAUGAUGCAUACUGGAAAAAUAUCACGCAAGCACAUUAAUUGAAAAGGUAAAAAAACAACAGACAUGAUUAUAUAAAGAUCGAGAAAGAGAAAUAUGCAUAAAUGCAUUAUUUGUGACAACAUAGUGAUAAUUAGUCUUAUCACUAGUUUGCUUCAUUAAAACCACAAUAAACAAAAAUCAUAAUUUAGAGUUUCAACAGUCUAAAAGAAAAAAACACAACUUGAAUCCAAUAACUAGCUAUACAUCAUCAUUCUUGCACUCUAAGGAAAGGCCUUCCUUGUAUAUACAAGUUAAGCUCAGAGUCAAGAGUUAAAAAAAGGCAAAUGGUCAAAUUGCUGAGUAAAAACAAAUAUAACACAAAAGUAUUUGACCAAAAAAUAUCAUACCAAAAAACAUUCACGUAUAUGGCUAUAAAUACUUGAAUAACCCAAUGAAGCAUAACCAACCUUGCAUUUAAAUGCUAGGAAAUCACAUACAAAGAAUAAGAAAAGAAGAAAUACCUUAUGCACUGUGUUAUGGAUAAGAAAUUUAUGUUUUGCCGCAACUUCUUAUCUCUUUCUCUAUCAGGGGAAAUAGUUAAAUAACAACAACAACCACCAGUAUAGUCCCACCAGGUGGGGUCUAGGGAGGGUAAUAUGUAGACGAGCCUUACCCC
rnacentral:lncRNA from 1 species